UGCGGGUGAACGCGGCGUUUGCCGCGCGGUACAACCGCUACCGGGAGCGCGAGGAACUGCAGCGGCUGAAGGAUCGCUACGGGGACCGGGACAGCGGCAGCGACACCAGCUCCGAGUCGGCCUCCAGCGACGAGCGCGUGGAAUUUGACCCCCAGCAGGAGCGGGACUUUUACAAAACGCUCUCCUUGUUGAAGAAGAAGGACCCCCGCAUUUAUCAGAAAGAUGCCACCUUCUAUAACAGAACAGCAUCGUCAUCAGACAGUCAGGAGGAGCCAGCAGCCUUGGAGAAGCAGAAGAAAGUGCGGCCCAUGUACCUGAAGGACUACGAGAGGAAGGUUAUGUUGGAGAAGGCAGGCAAAUACGUCGACGAGGAGAACUCAGACGGGGAGACUUCCAAUCACAGACUCCAGGUGGGUGGGGUGAGGGCUGGGUCGGGGGGCUGAGGGGCCUGGGGCUGGCCUGAGACCUACCGCCCUCUCUGCAGGAGACCUCGUCGCAAAGUUAUGUGGAAGAACAGAAACAGCUCAAGGAAAGCUUUCGGGCAUUUGUGGAGGACAGUGAGGACGAGGACAGUGCUGGGGAGGGCGGCUCCAGUUUGCUGCAGAAACGUGCCAAAACCAGGCAGGAGAAGGCCCAGGAGGAGGCUGACUACAUCGAGUGGCUGAAGGGACAGAAAGAGAUUCGGAACCCAGAUUCCCUGAAGGAACUGACCCAUCUCAAGGAAUACUGGAACGACCCUGAGUUGGAUGAAGGGGAGCGGUUCCUGCGGGAUUACAUCCUCAACAAACGCUACGAGGAGGAGGAAGAGGAGGAGGAAGAUGAGGAGGAAAAGGAGGAAGAGGAGCGGGUCCCCGGCCCCCCAGUCCAGCUGGCUGUGGAUGACUCCUCAGACGAGGGGGAGCUGUUUCUGAAGAAACAGGAGGACUUUGAACAGAAGUACAAUUUCCGUUUCGAGGAGCCGGACUCAGCAUCGGUCAAGACCUACCCACGCAGCAUCGCGUCCUCCGUGCGCCGUAAGGAUGAGCGCAGAAAGGAGAAGAGGGAAGAGACUCGGGAGCGAAAGAAGAGGGAGAAAGCGAAGAAGCAGGAAGAGCUCAAGCAGCUGAAGAACCUGAAGAGGAAGGAGAUUCUGGCCAAGCUGGAGAAGCUGCGGAAAGUAACAGGCAACGAGACGCUGGGCCUCGAGGAGGGGGACCUUGAAGACGACUUUGACCCUGCCCAGCACGACCAGCUCAUGCAGAAGUGCUUUGGGGACGAGUACUACGGGGCCGUGGAGGAGGACAAGCCACAAUUUGAGGAAGAAGAAGGGCUUGAAGACGACUGGAACUGGGACACGUGGGACGGGCCUGAGCAGGAGGGAGACUGGAGCCAGCAGGAGCUGCACUGUGAGGACCCCAACUUCAAUGUAGGUGUCACGGGUUGAGGGAUUCCCAGAGGCCCUGACGUAGGGCUGGUGGGAUCUGACCUGUGCGUCCUGGCAGAUGGACGCCGACUACGACCCCAGCCAGCCGAGGAAGAAAAAGCACGAGGCCCCCUCGAUGGGCAAGAAGAAGCGCAAGUCGCCCUUCGCCGCGGCCGUGGGGCAGGAGAAACCCGUGUUUGAACCCGGUGAGGCCCAGGUGGGCAGACCGUGGGUGGGCAGGGGGCUCCGCGGGGCCUGGCAUAGCCCAGCAGCCUGGCUCUGUCUCGAGCAGGGGACAAGACAUUUGAGGAGUACCUGGAUGAGUAUUACCGGCUGGACUACGAGGACAUCAUCGACGACCUGCCCUGUCGCUUCAAGUACCGCACAGUGGUGCCCUGCGACUUUGGCCUCAGCACUGAGGAGAUCCUCGCUGCUGACGAUAAGGAGCUGAACCGGUGGUGCUCCCUGAAGAAGACCUGCAUGUACAGGUCAGAGCAGGAGGAGCUGCGGGACAAGCGGGCGUACAGCCAGAAGGCCCAGAACUCAUGGAAAAAGCGGCAGGUCUUCAAGUCACUCUGCCGAGAAGAGGCAGAGACACCCGCGGAAGCCACAGGGAAGCCACAGAGAGACGAAGCCGGCCCACAGAGGCAGCUGCCAGCCCUUGAUGGGGCUGGCAGGAAGCGGCCCCGGCCGGAGAGUCCCCCAGCACAAGAGGAAGCCCCUGUAUCACCCCACAAGAAGCCAGCCCCCCAGAGGCAGAGGAGGGCCAAGAAGGCACGGCUGCUGGGCCCCACUGUGAUGCUUGGUGGACGCGAGUUCAGCCGCCAGAGACUGCAGGCCUUUGGCCUCAACCCCAAACGGCUGCACUUCCGCCAGCUGGGCCGGCAGCGGAGGAAACAACAGGGGCCCAAGAACAGCUCCUGAGCAGCAGGGAGCAGGCAGGGGCCUCAGGCUCCUCCCCUCAAAUCAAGCCCUGGACAGGUCUCGCACCCACAAGUACUAUCUGCUGCAGAGAACCUCUCAUCUGUGGCUAGGCACGCCUGUAAUCCCAGCACUUCGGGAGGCCGAGGUGAAAGGAUCACUUGAGCCCAGGAAUUGGAGACCAGUGUGGGCAACUUAGUGAGACUCCAUCUCUACAAAAUGUGGUGACACAUUCCUGUAGUCCCCGCUACUCAGGAGGCUGGGGAAGGAAGGUCACUUAAGGCCAUGAGUUUGAGGCUACAGUGAGCUAUGAUUGCACCACUGCACUCCAGCCCGGGCAACAAAGCAAGACCCUGUCUCUUGGGGGGGAAAAAAAAAAAAAAAAAAAAAAA
rnacentral:sRNA from 1 species